rnacentral:rRNA from 1 species
AUGAAAGGAGAUCUUGUGAAGUUUGUGACGAAGUGUUAUGAUCCAGAGUUGUCGCAGCUUGUUAUCCCAGAUAGGGGGAAGAUCCCAGUUGAUGCAGCAAGCAUAGAAAGAAUCUGGGGUUUGCCAAGGGGGCAGAUGAAGGUUGCAUAUGAAGUGGAGCCGGACGUAGUUAGGUUGUUCAAUGAGAAGUUCGACAUCCCGACAGGGCCCGCGCCAUCAGUGACCGAGUGGUGCAAAAUGAUAAAUGAUAUCGGAGCUGUUGCUGACGACAAGUUCUUAAGUGCUUGGCUGGUUGUUGUUUAUAGCCGUUUUCUUGCACCGACGACCAGCUUGAAGGUGUCACCGCGCGCAUACUCAUCUACGCUGAAUCCAUGUGAGGUUCUGAAUUCAAAUGUUUGCCAGUUUGUCGUCGACCAACUUAGGCUUGCUUUCAUGGGUUUUGGAGACAAGAAGAAUACUAUAUGCUGCUGCCUUUUUCACCUAGUGGUAAAAUGA